GGCGCACGGGUGCGUAACACGUAUGCAACCUACCUUUAACUGGGGUAUAGCUCAGAGAAAUCUGAAUUAAUCCCCCAUAACACUACGACAUGGCAUCAUGAUGUAGUUAAAGCUCCGGCGGUUAAGGAUGGGCAUGCGGUACAUUAGCUAGUUGGUGAGGUAAUGGCUCACCAAGGCUACGAUGUAUAGGGGGUCUGAGAGGAUGAUCCCCCACACUGGUACUGAGACACGGACCAGACUCCUACGGGAGGCAGCAGUAGGGAAUAUUGGUCAAUGGACGCAAGUCUGAACCAGCCAUGCCGCGUGAAGGAUGAAGGCCCUCUGGGUCGUAAACUUCUUUUAUUAGGGAAGAAACCUCAGGAUGCGUCCUGAGCUGACGGUACUUAAUGAAUAAGGAUCGGCUAACUUCGUGCCAGCAGCCGCGGUAAGACGAAGGAUCCAAGCGUUGUCCGGAUUUACUGGGUUUAAAGGGUGCGUAGGCGGAAAAUUAAGUCAGUGGUGAAAGCCCGCAGCUCAACUGUGGAACUGCCAUUGAAACUGGUUUUCUUGAAUAUAGCUGAGGCAGAUGGAAUAUAACAUGUAGCGGUGAAAUGCUUAGAUAUGUUAUAGAACACCGAUUGCGAAGGCAGUCUGCUAAACUAUUAUUGACGCUGAGGCACGAAAGCGUGGGGAGCGAACAGGAUUAGAUACCCUGGUAGUCCACGCCCCAAACGUUGAUUACUCGCUGUUGGCGAUAUACUGUCAGUGGCUAAGCGAAAGCAUUAAGUAAUCC
rnacentral:rRNA from 1 species